CAUCGUGGGGCUGCUGAGCGGUAGCUAUUCGUCCGUGCUACGAGUCCGGCCAGACGUCGGGGUUCCGGUCGUGUUGCUGCUGCCGGGCUGCUGUGCGGCCUCGUUUCUGGUGUUAGUCCAGGAAAAACCCCAGCUGCUCCCCAUUUAACAUCGGAGUGGACCAUAACUGGUUGUUGGGACAUUUGUGUUCGGCAGUUUGCUGUAGUGCAGAUUCGUCGGGUUUCCAUCAUUGUGGGGCUGCCGGGCGGUAGCUAUUCAUCCCUGCUACGUCUCCGACCAGGCGUCCGGAUUUCGGUCUUGUUGUUGGAGCUGGACGUGUUGCGACGAUACGGGAACUGAAGAAGCUCAUUAUUCAUCCUGAAACAUAGGACUGGUCCGAGUAUAGCUAGUACAGCUUCAUCUGCCCCCACCUCACCAUUGAUCCCCUAAUUGUCACCGUGAAAUAGUACCAACCCUUUAAACAACCGAGUAUCACCGAGCGAUAUGGAACGUCUUUCGAAGAAGCUGGAUAGUGGUACCUACGCAAAGCUUACAGGUCACCUCGUUAAUAACAUAUCGCUAUGGGAUUUGAGUACAGACGAUCUCGCCAUGAUGGAUAUAACCGAAGUGGGCCCCCGUAGGAUCAUACUUAACUUCAUUGAACGAAACCGAGAGUCAGCUUUAAACCAGGAUGAGAAUAUUGUUGAUAACGGACAACAAAACGAGUCCCUUCAUGAGCCA
rnacentral:lncRNA from 1 species